rnacentral:lncRNA from 1 species
AUAUCAUGCUAACACAAAUAGAAAAAAUGCAUGUGCCCAACGAAGAACUCAAUUUUGACUUGGUUUUGGCUUUGAUGAUUCUUCUUCUUGCUAUUUGGUGAAAUUAGUGAUUUACAUGCGGCUAUUUUUAAUUUUAUCUUACAUUGAUUUUUUCUGUACUAUUUAGUGAGAUUAACGCAAGUAUACGUGUUCCGCAUCAGCCAUUCAAAUAAAAAAAAAAGUGUUAUGUAUUAUAAUCUUUGUGUUAGCAUGAGAAUCAGUGAUGCAAAUCAAUAACCGUAUGAAAGUGUUCACUAAUAGUUACCUGAAACUUCGAAGCUAUUUGUGUUAGCAUGAUAUGCACUACCUCUACCUGAGUUAAUAAUAAAUUAAAUUAAGAAAGAUUAUAGGAAUAAAUUAGGAAAUAUUAUAUAUAGGAACAUUUUUCAAUUUACACAAGUAUGAUCACAUGAGGUUUUAUGUGAGAGAAUUUUAAUCUGAUACGUUAAUUAAAUCUAAGGGUUAUUAUCAAUAGUUCUCAUUUCUCAUAAUAUUUAUCAGUUCUCACCGGAUACAUUC